AGUGAACGCUGGCGGUAGGCCUAACACAUGCAAGUCGAACGGCAGCACAGUAAGAGCUUGCUCUUACGGGUGGCGAGUGGCAGACGGGUGAGGAAUACAUCGGAAUCUACUUUUUCGUGGGGGAUAACGUAGGGAAACUUACGCUAAUACCGCAUACGACCUACGGGUGAAAGCAGGGGAUCUUCGGACCUUGCGCGAUUGAAUGAGCCGAUGUCGGAUUAGCUAGUUGGCGGGGUAAAGGCCCACCAAGGCGACGAUCCGUAGCUGGUCUGAGAGGAUGAUCAGCCACACUGGAACUGAGACACGGUCCAGACUCCUACGGGAGGCAGCAGUGGGGAAUAUUGGACAAUGGGGGCAAGCCUGAUCCAGCCAUACCGCGUGGGUGAAGAAGGCCUUCGGGUUGUAGAGCCCUUUUGUUGGGAAAGAAAAGCAGCAGGUUAAUACCCCGCUGUUCUGACGGUACCCAAAGAAUAAGCACCGGCUAACUUCGUG
rnacentral:rRNA from 1 species